rnacentral:misc_RNA from 1 species
GAAGAAGAAGAAGAAGAAGAUGCAGGAGAGAGGUCAAAGGAGGAAAGGACAGUAACGAGAGGGAAUAAGGAUAGAUGACUAUAUUUAGGCUUAGGGUUAUGUUUUUAUCUCUUGGGCUUGGCUUGGACAAGGGCCUGUAUAUGUAAGGGUUAAACUUUUGGGCUUUAAAUUUUGGUUUAUUUGAUUUUAUCGGUUAUAACCAAAAAUCAAACUGAACUGACCAAAAAUCAAAAUUCACCUAAAUAUACUAACCGAAUUAAAACCAAAAACUGAAUAACUAAACCAUUUAAAUCGAAAUCUAUCAAUUUGGUUUGGUUUCUCAAUUCAAACUGAGAAAUGCUCAACCCUAGUCAUAAGAAUCUACCGAUUUAAAAAUCAUGCGAGCCAGGUGAUGCUUUGGUGAAUACCUAGCAGGGUCUACAGAAGGAGGGGCAAGCAAACAAAAUUUCUCCUGUAGCCAUACCUAUAUAAGAGAGAGAGAGAGAGAG